rnacentral:rRNA from 1 species
GGCCCGAGUUGUAAUUUGUAGAGGAUGCUUUUGGUGAGGUGCCUUCUGAGUUCCCUGGAACGGGACGCCAGAGAGGGUGAGAGCCCCGUAUAGUCGGCCACCGAUCCUCUGUAAAGCUCCUUCGACGAGUCGAGUAGUUUGGGAAUGCUGCUCAAAAUGGGAGGUAUAUCUCUUCUAAAGCUAAAUACUGGCCAGAGACCGAUAGCGCACAAGUAGAGUGAUCGAAAGAUGAAAAGCACUUUGAAAAGAGGGUUAAAUAGCACGUGAAAUUGUUGAAAGGGAAGCGCUUGUGACCAGACUUGCGCCGGGCUGAUCAUCCAGUGUUCUCACUGGUGCACUCGACCCGGCUCAGGCCAGCGUCGGUUCUCGCAGGGGGAUAAAAGCUUCGGGAACGUGGCACCUUCGGGUGUGUUAUAGCCCGUUGCUUAAUACCCCUGCGGGACCGAGGU